AUUGAACGCUGGCGGAAUGCUUUACACAUGCAAGUCGAACGAUGAACCUUAGCUUGCUAAGGGGAUUAGUGGCGAACGGGUGAGUAAUGUAUCGGAACGUAUCCAAUAAUGGGGGAUAACUAGUCGAAAGAUUAGCUAAUACCGCAUACGUCCUACGGGAGAAAGCUAGGGACCUUCGGGCCUGGCGUUAAUGGAGCGGCCGAUAUCUGAUUAGCUAGUUGGGGGGGUAAAGGCACACCAAGGCGACGAUCAGUAGCUGGUCUGAGAGGACGACCAGCCACACUGGAACUGAGACACGGUCCAGACUCCUACGGGAGGCAGCAGUGGGGAAUUUUGGACAAUGGGCGAAAGCCUGAUCCAGCCAUUCCGCGUGAGUGAAGAAGGCCUUCGGGUUGUAAAGCUCUUUCGCAAGGGAAGAAAACUUAAGCUCUAACAUAGCUUGAGGUUGACGGUACCUUGAUAAGAAGCACCGGCUAACUACGUGCCAGCAGCCGCCGUAA
rnacentral:rRNA from 1 species